ACGGAGGCUGCGAGCGUUAUCCGGAUUUAUUGGGUUUAAAGGGUGCGUAGGUGGACUGUUUAGUCAGUGGUGAAAUGCUGAUGCUCAACGUUAGCAUUGCCGUUGAAACUGACAGUCUUGAGAGUGAUUGAGGCAGGCGGAAUGUGUGGUGUAGCGGAAAAAAGCAAAAAUCCCAGCAAGACAAACUAUGGCGAAGGCACCUUGCAAAGCCACAACUGACACUGAAGCACGAAAGCGUGGGGAUCAAACAG
rnacentral:rRNA from 1 species